UAUCUAAUCCGGCUGGGGAGUACGGUCGCAAGGCUAAAACUCAAAGGAAUUGACGGGGGCCCGCACAAGCGGUGGAGUAUGUGGUUUAAUUCGAAGCAACGCGCAGAACCUUACCUACCCUUAACAUUUCACGCUCGCCUCAGAGAUGAGGUUUUCUCUUCGGAGACGUGAGGAUAGGUGCUGCAUGGCUGUCGUCAGCUCGUGUCGUAAGAUGUCUGGUUAAGUCCAAUAACGAGCGCAACCCUUAUCCUUAGUUACCAGCAUUGAGUUGGGGACUCUAGGGAGACUGCCGGUGUUAAACCGGAGGAAGGCGGGAUGACGUCAAGUCCUCAUGGCCCUUACGGGUAGGGCUACACACGUACUACAAUGGCAGAACAACCGAAGCGAUAUUGCGAGAUGGAGCUAAACGGUAAACACUGUACUCAGUCCGGAUUGAAGUCUGCAACUCGACUUCAUGAAGCUGGAAUCGCUAGUAAUCGCUGAUCAGCAAGCAGCGUNAUACG
rnacentral:rRNA from 1 species